CUGCAGGUUCAGCUUCAGCAACAGUCCUUCCAAUGAAUAGUCAGGAUUGAUUUCCUUUAAGAUUGAUUGGUUUGGGGACCCACCUCGCGACGGGCCACUGCUGCAGGCAGUCAGGUGCUGGCGUGUGCAAUCGAAGUUCCGGAGGCCCGGGCCAUGAGAAUGUCACCAUGCCUAAAGCACCAAAGGGAAAAAGUGUAGGACAAGAAAAAAAAGUCAUCCAUCCAUAUAGUAGAAAAGCAGCUCAAAUUACAAGAGAGGCCGACAAACAAGAAAAAAAGGAAAAAUUGAAGAAUGAAAAGGCGUUGUGUCUCAGCCUUAUUGGUGAAAAACUGCAGUGGUUUCAAAAUCACCUUGAUCCCAAAAAAGUAGGAUAUUCAAAAAGAGAUGCUUGUGAACUAAUUGAAAGAUAUUUGAAUCGAUUCAGCAGCGAGCUGGAGCAGAUUGAGUUGCGGAACAGCUUCAAGGACAGGCAGGGCCGGAGGCACUGCUCUCGGGAGGCGGCCAUCAGGCAGACCCUGGAGCGGGAGCGGUGGCAGUACCAGGCCCACGAGCUUCCAGACUUUUUAAAUGCAGAUAAUCUGAAAACUUUUAGGGAAUGGGAUUUUGAUCUGAAGAAACUGCCAACAUUAAAAUGAGAAAAGUCUGUGCUAGCGAUGUGGUGCCCAAGAAGUGUAAGAAGAAAGCUGUGACAGCUGUAGACAGAGAUUUAGGGGAAUUGUAACUGAAAGAUGAGUCAAGUGACACAGACGAGGAAAUGACUGCGGUGGCCUAAGUGUCUUUGCUUGGGUGGAAAAUAAAUAAUUUGAGAACUUCAAAAAAAAAAAAAGAUUGAUUGGUUUGAUCUCCUUGUUGUCCAAGGGACUCUCAAGAGUCAUCUCCUACACCACAAUUUGAAAGCAUCAAUUCUUUGGCACUUAGCCUUCUUUGCCAUUCAAGAUUGCUGGUUUAAAAGUGUAUGGCAAGAGCCACUACAAUUGUAAAGUAAUUAGCCUCCAACUAAUAAAAACAAGUGGAAAAAAAUAAUAAAGGGACUCUCAAGAGUCUU